ACAGCGAUUUGGUAUCAGCCCUGGCCCUGAUUCUGCUCGUAUCUGCCGCCGUGCGCGAUGGGACCCGCCGGCCCCGAGUCCGCCAGCAGAGCGCCCGGCGCUGUCCGUGGUGCUGAAAGCACCGCUCCUAGGAGAGAGCGAACGGGCAGAGCGCACCUGCUGAACAGGCAGAACAGUCUGCAUGCCACAGGAGGGAUACCAAUGCCUGAGCUGUCUGAAUUUCUGAAGAGGAGAUGUCCUUUCACUGCCCCAGCCAAAAGAGGCAGAAGGAGCCCCCCGCAGUGUGCACAUCACUUGUGCUUCUUGGGAUUCCUGAAUCACUGAUCUUCUCUGAGGAGUAGCCUUCCCUGAGGACCAUCAGAAUAAAGAACUGCAAAGUGACAGUUCCUUGUAGCAUCAUCGCGGACCGACUCGGUUUGUCUCUCCUGCUCAGCUUUGCCCUGUGAGUGGCUGCUGGGACCACAGGCAGAUUAGGAGCCGACAGUCCUGCCCUGGAGCUGCCCCCUGCAUCGCUUCCUGCCCGUGCAUCUUAGUCCAGAACUGAGGAAUAUCCUCACUGCAACAGACUUGCUUUGACAAAUUCCUGAUAAGCUUUACUUUGAUGCCUUUAAAUAAAACAGAUGCUUAGAGGAAGAGAGUAUUCCUGCAUACUUCUGUACCUGGAUGAUCCCCCAUCCCCAGGAUGUGCUUUGCUGAUCUUAGGAUCAGAAAUCAUACAAUCAUCUUCUAUUUCUGCACCUCCCCGUUCAUCUGAACUGCUCCUUGCCAUGACAGGAAUGGCUGGAAAUGGUCACAUAGGAGAUGGCAUUCUGAAAAAGACACAUAUGCUGAGGGUACACAAUCUGUAACACGCCUGUUGUAGCCCAAAAUGUCACAUGGUUGGGUGUGUAGGAACUUUCCUUGGAUUCAUGACCCCAAAUAUUCUGGGGGAUGCAGAGCUCCCAAAGAGAGCUCGCAAGCACAGCCGGUAAGAGGUCUGGUUCAGAUAAAAGAUGUUUCGAAUUGCAGGUGAAUGUCUUUGAAAGGGAACAGCGAGAGGAACACCAGAAAUCUGUUCUAUUUGAUCAGAGCAUUAAAACAUUUACAGGUAGAGCUGCACACACCCACCUUCAGAUCUAUAGUCCUGUGCCAGGAGAGAUGUGUGCAGUGGAUGUGCAAGUGUGUCCCAAACGUUUAGAGCACACCAGAAUCGAGGGGCUGGAACAAUUGAUUUAUUUCCUUCUUUCU